rnacentral:rRNA from 1 species
UACGUAGGUGGCGAGCGUUAUCCGGAUUUACUGGGUGUAAAGGGCGUGUAGGCGGGCGUGCAAGUCAGAUGUGAAAAUUAUGGGCUCAACCCAUAACCUGCAUUUGAAACUGUAUGUCUUGAGUGAUGGAGAGGCAGGCGGAAUUCCGUGUGUAGCGGUGAAAUGCGUAGAUAUACGGAGGAACACCAGUGGCGAAGGCGGCCUGCUGGACAUUAACUGACGCUGAUGCGCGAAAGCGUGGGGAGCAAACAGGAUUAGAUACC